rnacentral:tRNA from 1 species
AGCUCGGUAGCUUAGUUGGUAAAGCGCUGAUCUAGCAUACAAUAAUCCUGGGUUUGAAUCCCAGCCGAGCUC